AGCGAACGCUGGCGGCAGGCUUAACACAUGCAAGUCGAGCGGGCACUUUCGGGUGUCAGCGGCGGACGGGUGAGUAACGCGUGGGAACGUGCCCUCUGGUUCGGAAUAACUCAGGGAAACUUGAGCUAAUACCGGAUACGCCCUUUUGGGGAAAGGCUUGCUGCCGGAGGAUCGGCCCGCGUCUGAUUAGCUAGUUGGUGAGGUAACGGCUCACCAAGGCGACGAUCAGUAGCUGGUCUGAGAGGAUGAUCAGCCACACUGGGACUGAGACACGGCCCAGACUCCUACGGGAGGCAGCAGUGGGGAAUAUUGGACAAUGGGCGCAAGCCUGAUCCAGCCAUGCCGCGUGAGUGAUGAAGGCCUUAGGGUUGUAAAGCUCUUUUAGCCGGGACGAUAAUGACGGUACCGGAGGAAUAAGCCCCGGCUAACUUCGU
rnacentral:rRNA from 1 species